CCGACGGGUGAGUAACACGUAUGCAAUCCACCUGUAACAGGGGGAGUAACCCGGAGAAAUCCGGACUAAUACCCCAUAAUAUGGGCGCUCCGCAUGGAGAGUUCAUUAAAGAGAGCAAUUUUGGUUACAGACGAGCAUGCGCUCCAUUAGCCAGUUGGCGGGGUAACGGCCCACCAAGGCGACGAUGGAUAGGGGUUCUGAGAGGAAGGUCCUCCACAUUGGAACUGAGACACGGUCCAA
rnacentral:rRNA from 1 species